rfam:Octopus bimaculoides Scaffold102683_contig_27, whole genome shotgun sequence.
AUACUGUUAAUCUUUGUGUAGAAGUAUGGCUUGAUGCGCCACAGGAAGUAUCGUUCUGAAAAUUUAAUUAGACGAAGAAUAUUGUUGAAUAGACAGAUUUCAGUUAAAAUCACGAUAAAAAAAGUGAAGUACAAGUACUUUCUGGUUAAAUGUUUCAAGAAGCCCUUUUUUUUUUUUUACGAAAUAUGACAUCACUGAGUGUAUCUUCUAUUUUUUAACUUUGCUUGUUUCAGUCAUUAGUCUGCGGUCAUGCUGGUGCACCGCCUUGAAGAAUUUCUAGUCGAAUGAGUGAACCCCAGUACUUAUUUUUUAAAAUUUCUUUUUAAAAGUGUGGUACUUAUCCUAUCGGUCUCCUUUGCUAAACCGCUAAGCUGUUGACUCGUUGCUGCUGAGGCGUAACUUCCUCUUUUGGCCAUGGUCCGGUAACCACUUUCGUUGUUUUGAGCUUCCGUUAAAUCGCUCUCCAGUUCAGGCGAAUGCUGCAUAAAGUUGUCCAUAUACCGCAUAAAAUAAAAGUUUCGCCCCUAAAUGGUGGGAAAACCAGCCAUAAACAGAGGCCUGCAAAUGCAGGUAGAUCGUAAAAAAGACGCAAAACAACAGCAAACAAAAGGGAAAACCUACAACAAGGUAAAACAAACAAGUACUUAGCUUCACAGCAGAAAAAACACGUCUGUUCAACACGAGAUGAUUGGAACAACCAAAAAGAUCGCGUGUCGUUAGCAAACCGGGCAAAAUGCUUAGAAGCAUUUCGUCUGUCUUUAUGUUCUGUGAUCAAAUUUUGCCGAGGUUGACUUUGCUUUUCAUUCUUUCGGAGUCAAUAAAAUGAGUACCAGUUGAGCACUGGUGUCGCUCUGAUAGACUUAUCCACCUACCUCGUAAUUCCUGGCCUUAUGCCAACAUUUGAAAACCGUUAUUAUUGUUAUUGUCUGAAAAUGGCUUUGAAUACUGAUCAUGCAUUCUUAGGAUAAAAGGCGUUCCAGUCUUGAUAUAGGCCACCCCCAGUUUUCUUUCAGAUGUGGUGUAUUCAGGAGUGCGUUCUCUAAUGUGUCCGUAUUUCUUUUUCCCCCUAUAGGGCAUACAUAGAGGGGACAAAACAAGGACAGUCACAACAAAGGGACGGAAUUACGAACAUGAUAUGAAAUGGUUAAUACGGUGCAAUGAAAUCGAGUGAAAUAGAAUUUCACAUCUAAUUAAGAAUUUUUAAAUUAGAUCUUUUUAAAUUUCAUGCCUUUAGAUGUCUGGGGCCGGACGCGCGCUAAACUGGAGGUAUCAGCGCGCACGUCUGAACCACCUUCUGUGAUAGGGAUCGGGGCCUGGAACCAACCCUGUGAACGAGGAGUUCCGGUAGGCGCGGGUCAUCAGCCCGCGUCGAUCACGUCCCUGCUCUUUGUACACACCGGCCGUCGCUACUACCGAUCGAACGGUCCGGUGAGGUCCUCGGAUCUGGCCGACGAGUCCGCUUACGCGCGGUGGCGUCCCGCGCCGUCGUCCCGCGAUGGCCCGGAAAAGACGAACGAAUCCGAUCGCGUAGAGGAAAUAAAAGUCGUAAAUUUGACAUCUAAUUAAAA